GAGAACCUGGAGAGCACAUUUCCAUUUGCCAGGCCAGUUUGCUCUUCCCAGUGUGGCCUGUGAACAGUGGGGACAUGAAGAAUGGUGCUCCUCCCACACUACCUUACUGACCACUCUGAUGUCUUGGAAACUCUUGGCAGCACCAGGGAAAGGACAGUAGAAGGACGUAAGUGCUGUCCCACAAUGCUCACAGACCUCUUCUGCCUGGCUGCCUCUUUAGCUCUGCUCCUUUACUCACUUCUGUCCUGCUUCACCACCUGUGCCUGUCUGCAUCUCUAUCUGUGCACAGUCACAUGCUGUGUAAGGAGAGGGAAAGUGUUGAGAAACACAGCACCACAUGAUCUUGUCAUUAUUUGAAUGUCACAGAGUUUAUGGACCAGACUAAGAAGGCUGGGAUGUCGCCAGGUCAUGAGACUCAUGGGACCAUUGAAACAUCUGUGUGCAUACGUUCACAUGUGUGUGCCCCACUAUGUAUGUGUGGGUGUAUACCUAUACAUCUAUGUGUAUGUGUGUGCAUGCACACGUAUACAUUUUAGCAACUCAUAGUGCUGAGUGGCAUGAGGCUGGUGGAAGCUACUUAUUUAAAUAAGUAGUCCAUGAGGCCCUCAGAGCAGGUGACCCCUAAACUGAUACCUGAGUGGGUGAACUAGGUGAAGAUCUGGACAGGGCAUCUUCUGGAUGAAGAGUCUGGCCCCAGACAGGGUGUCCCCAGGGUGGCUGAGUGGGGAGGUUGGAAACCAUGGCAGCCAGGAUGGUGCUGGAUGGGCCUUGCACUGGUCCAUCUCUGUCACUGGGGCAAAAUACCUGAAAUCAUAAAUUGAAGGAGGAGAGGAUUAUUUUGUCCCACGGUUUCAGAGGGUUCAGUGCAUGGGCAGCUGGCUUCAAGGCAGGAACAUCAAGGCCCAGGGGCCUAGCAGAGGAAAGCUGCUCACCUCAUGGUGGCCAGAGCAGACAGACAGCAAGAGAGAGCUGGAGAGAAGGGACCAGGACAAGAAUCCACCCUUCCAGGUCAUCCUGGAGUGACCUGCCUCCUCCAGCCAGACCCACCUCCUAGUGGCAUAUUCAGCCAUGAACUAGCCAGUGGAUUAAUCCACUGACCCACAGAUGAGUAGCGUGCCUAUGAGCCAACCACCUUCAGAAAAGCCCCGCCUCUGAACAUAGGAGCCUCCUGGGGACAUUGUGGCUCCAAACUGGAAGUAGCUCUCUCACCUCUUCCACCCCGAGAGAGGAGGCCUGGCCUCUGCUCCCCUCUAUGCUGCGGCAACCUUGGCCUGUCCUUGCUCCUUCCCCUCCUCCUGCUUUUCCUGGUGCCUUGCAAGCAGGCAGAGUAUUCUAUUAACUUGUUCUUAAAUGUCUCCCUAAGGUAUAAGGUACAUACAGAAAGGGUACAAGGAUGUAUGCAAGAUAGUGUUGGUGAUCCUGAGGAGAUGGCCCAGUCAGGGCCCAGCAGCCCCUUCUCCCUAGCAUAUCCACCUCCUUGGGGACUCAAGUGGUCCUCUUUUGAUUUAUGUGGGUUGGAGUCCCAGCACAAACUGCCUUUCCGCAGCAUUCUGUGCCAAUUGAUGGGAGACUCACUGAGCCCUCCUGUGUGAUAGUCAGUCUCAUGGGGGCAAGGCCUUCUGGGAGGGAACAUGCCACAGCCUAGUAAUUUAUUCUCCUAUUAAUGGGCACUUGGACAGCUUCCAGCUGUGAGAUGUUGUAAGUCAGCAGCUGUGACUGCUUUAGGACGUGCAAUUUGGAGAAUAUAUGCAUGUAUUUGUGCUGUACUUAUGCCCAGGAGUGGAAUUGCUCAUAGUAGAUUGAGGGAAUGUGAAGACCCCCUAAGCUAAGUGGUUUUCCAUGUUGAUUAGCUUAAAAAUCAUAUUUAUUCUUAUAGUAAUAGAAGUAAUGUUUAUUUAUUGUUGGGAAUUUGGAAGACAGAGUAAAAUAAAAUAAAACCACAUAUUAGUCUUUAGUUUUGUAACUGUAGAAUUGGGAUUAUGCUACAUAGAACCUUCAAUUUGCUAUGUUCACUUUAUGUUGUAGUAUUCCUAGUAUUAUUAAAUGCUUUUUUCCAUUGACAGCAUUUGGGUGUAUCAAAAUAAAUG
rnacentral:lncRNA from 1 species